rnacentral:rRNA from 1 species
CCUACGGGAGGCUGCAGUGAGGAAUAUUGGUCAAUGGGCGGAAGCCUGAACCAGCCAAGUCGCGUGAGGGAAUAAGGCCCUACGGGUCGUAAACCUCUUUUGCCGGGGAGCAAGGGCGGGGACGUGUCCAGGCCCGGAGAGUACCCGGAGAAAAAGCAGCGGCUAACUCCGUGCCAGCAGCCGCGGUAAUACGGAGGAUGCGCGCGUUAUUCGGAUUUAUUGGGUUUAAAGGGUGCGUAGGCGGGCUUUUAAGUCAGCGGUAAAAAUUCGGGGCUCACCCCCGUCCGGCCGUUGAAACUGGGGGCCUUGUGUGGGCGAGACGCAGGCGGCAUGCGUGUUGUAGCGGUGACAUGCAUAGAUAUCACGCAGAACCCCGAUUGCGAAGGCAGCCUUCCGGCGCCCUACUGACGCUGAGGCACGACAGUGCGGGGAUCGAACAGGAUUAGAUACCCUUGUAGUC